rnacentral:rRNA from 1 species
GAUGAACGCUGGCGGCGUGCCUAAUACAUGCAAGUCGAGCGAACAGACGAGGAGCUUGCUCCUCUGACGUUAGCGGCGGACGGGUGAGUAACACGUGGAUAACCUACCUAUAAGACUGGGAUAACUUCGGGAAACCGGAGCUAAUACCGGAUAAUAUAUUGAACCGCAUGGUUCAAUAGUGAAAGACGGUUUUGCUGUCACUUAUAGAUGGAUCCGCGCCGCAUUAGCUAGUUGGUAGGUAACGGCUUACCAAGGCAACGAUGCGUAGCCGACCUGAGAGGGUGAUCGGCCACACUGGAACUGAGACACGGUCCAGACUCCUACGGGAGGCAGCAGUAGGGAAUCUUCCGCAAUGGGCGAAAGCCUGACGGAGCAACACCGCGUGAGUGAUGAAGGUCUUCGGAUCGUAAAACUCUGUUAUUAGGGAAGAACAAAUGUGUAAGUAACUAUGCACGUCUUGACGGUACCUAAUCAGAAAGCCACGGCUAACUACGUG